UACGUAGGGUGCGAGCGUUAAUCGGAAUUACUGGGCGUAAAGCGUGCGCAGGCGGUUCGUGAUGUCUGGUGUGAAAGCCCCGGGCUUAACCUGGGAAUUGCAUUGGAAACUAGCGGGCUGGAGUGUGGCAGAGGGGGGGUGGAAUUCCACGUGUAGCAGUGAAAUGCGUAGAGAUGUGGAGGAACACCGAUGGCGAAGGCAGCCCCCUGGGCCAAUACUGACGCUCAUGCACGAAAGCGUGGGGAGCAAACAGG
rnacentral:rRNA from 1 species